CGAAUGUCUAGUAUAGCAAUCUAUACUGUGAACUGCGAAUGGCUCAUUAAAUCAGUUAUCGUUUAUUUGAUAGUACCUUACUACUUGGAUAACCGUGGUAAUUCUAGAGCUAAUACAUGCUAAAAACCCCGACUUCGGGAGGGGUGUAUUUAUUAGAUAAAAAACCAAUGCCCUUCGGGGCUCUUUGGUGAUUCAUGAUAACUUAACGAAUCGCAUGGCCUUGCGCCGGCGAUGGUUCAUUCAAAUUUCUGCCCUAUUAACUUUCGAUGGUAGGAUAGAGGCCUACCAUGGUAUCAAUGGGUAACGGGGAAUUAGGGUUCUAUUCCGGAGAGGGAGCCUGAGAAACGGCUACCACAUCCAAGGAAGGCAGCAGGCGCGCAAAUUACCCAAUCCCGACACGGGGAGGUAGUGACAAUAAAUACUGAUACAGGGCUCUUUUGGGUCUUGUAAUUGGAAUGAGUACAAUUUAAAUACCUUAACGAGGAACAAUUGGAGGGCAAGUCUGGUGCCAGCAGCCGCGGUAAUUCCAGCUCCAAUAGCGUAUAUUAAAGUUGUUGCAGUUAAAAAGCUCGUAGUUGAACCUUGGGCCUGGCUGGCCGGUCCGCCUCACCGCGUGUACUGGUCCGGCCGGGCCUUUCCUUCUGGGGAUCCGCAUGGCCUUCACUGGCUGUGUCGGGGAACCAGGACUUUUACUUUGAAAAAAUUAGAGUGUUCAAAGCAGGCCUUUGCUCGAAUACAUUAGCAUGGAAUAAUAGAAUAGGACGUGCGGUCCUAUUUUGUUGGUUUCUAGGACCGCCGUAAUGAUUAAUAGGGAUAGUCGGGGGCAUCAGUAUUCAAUUGUCAGAGGUGAAAUUCUUGGAUUUAUUGAAGACUAACUACUGCGAAAGCAUUUGCCAAGGAUGUUUUCAUUAAUCAGUGAACGAAAGUUAGGGGAUCGAAGACGAUCAGAUACCGUCGUAGUCUUAACCGUAAACUAUGCCGACUAGGGAUCGGGCGAUGUUAUUCUUUUGACUCGCUCGGCACCUUACGAGAAAUCAAAGUCUUUGGCUCUGGGGGAGA
rnacentral:rRNA from 1 species